CGUCGGGAUGGCGCAGUCCGGUCAGCGCGAUAGGCUCAUAACCUAUAGGUCGGGGGUUCGAAUCCCUCUCCCGCAACCA
rnacentral:tRNA from 1 species